rnacentral:rRNA from 1 species
CCCGCACAAGCAGCGGAGCGUGUGGUUUAAUUCGAUGCUACACGAAGAACUUACCUGGGUUGACAUGUACGUAGUAGUGAACCGAAAGGGAACGAGCCUUCGGGCAGCGUACACAGGUGCUGCAUGGCUGUCGUCAGCUCGUGCCGUGAGGUGUUGGGUUAAGUCCCGCAACGAGCGCAACCCUCAUCGCUAGUUACAUGUGUCUAGCGAGACUGCCGGGUUAACCCUGGAGGAAGGUGGGGAUGACGUCAAGUCAGCAUGGCCUUUAUGCCCAGGGCUACACACACGCUACAAUGGUCGGUACAAUGGGAUGCCAAGCCGUGAGGCGGAGCAAAUCCUCAAAGCCGGCCUCAGUUCGAAUUGGAGGCUGCAACUCGCCUCCAUGAAGUCGGAGUUGCUAGUAACCGCAGGUCAGCUAUACUGCGGUGAAUACGUUCCCGGGGCUU